rnacentral:rRNA from 1 species
CCUACGGGAGGCAGCAGUGAGGAAUAUUGGUCAAUGGCCGAGAGGCUGAACCAGCCAAGUCGCGUGAGGGAAGAAUGUCCUAUGGAUUGUAAACCUCUUUUGUCAGGGAGCAAAGUCACCCACGUGUGGGUGUUGGAGAGUACCCGAAGAAAAAGCAUCGGCUAACUCCGUGCCAGCAGCCGCGGUAAUACGGAGGAUGCGAGCGUUAUCCGGAUUUAUUGGGUUUAAAGGGUGCGUAGGCGGAACAUUAAGUCAGCGGUAAAAUCGAGGGGCUCAACCCCUUUAAGCCGUUGAAACUGGUGAUCUUGAGUGGGCGAGAAGUAUGCGGAAUGCGUGGUGUAGCGGUGAAAUGCAUAGAUAUCACGCAGAACUCCGAUUGCGAAGGCAGCAUACCGGCGCCCGACUGACGCUGAGGCACGAAAGCGUGGGGAUCGAACAGGAUUAGAUACCCUUGUAGUC